AUCUAGCUAACCAGUCCCAAAUAGGACGAAACACGCAUCCUGGAU
rfam:Schistosoma mattheei strain Denwood, Zambia genome assembly, scaffold: SMTD_scaffold0000549